rnacentral:misc_RNA from 1 species
GAAAUGCGAUAAGUAAUGUGAAUUGCAGAAUUCAGUGAAUCAUCGAAUCUUUGAACGCACCUUGCGCUCCUUGGUAUUCCGAGGAGCAUGCCUGUUUGAGUGUCAUGAAUAUCUCAACCCUCAGAGUCUUUUGUACGAUGAGCGGCUUGGACUUGGAGGCUUUGCCGGUGUUCACCCAUCGGCUCCUCUUAAAUAAAUUAGCUAUGGAUCACGAUGUGAUUGGAUCUAAAGUGUGAUACAUGUCUACGCUGAAGAUCGAUCAUGCAAGCUACCGUCCGUAAAAAAGACAGCGCUUUCAUUAGCCGUGUAGUUAGCGAACACAAAGCUCCUAAUCGUCCGCGAGGACAAACUAAACCCCCUGACAUCUGACCUCAAAUCAGGUAGGACUACCCGCUGAACU